UGAUCUCCUGACCUCGUGAUCCACCCGUCUCGGCCUCCCAAAGUGCUGGGAUUACAGGCAUGAGCCACCCUGCCCAGCCAAUUAAUACAUUUUGCAGCUCUGUCGUUUAGUGUAUAUAUGUUUAAAAUUGCUAUGCCAUCUUAGCAAAUUGACCUUUAUCUCAUUAUAUAAUUGUCUUGGCUCUGAAGUCUACUUUAUCUGAUAUUAAUAGGACUGCCUCUUUUGAUUGUUUGCAUGGUAUAUAUAUUUUUCUAUUUUUUUCCCCUUUCAUUCUACUAUGCGAUUGUGAUUGAAGGAUAGACAGCAUAUAGUUGGGCCAUUUUUUUUAAUGCUGCCUUCUAAUCUCUAUCUUCUAGUUGGUAUAUUUAGACCAUUUACAUUUGAUGUAAUUUGAUAUGUAAGGCUUGAGUCUGCUAUUAUAUUUUUUGUUUUCUAUUCAUUCUCUGUUUUCCAUUUCUCUCUUUUUUGUGCUUUCCUGUGAAUUAUUUGAACAAUUUUUUUUAGAAUUCCAGUUUGAUUUGUCCAUAAUGUUUCCCAGUGCAUCUUUUUUGAGGAGUUUCUUUAGGUGCUACUUUACAUGUACAUAACUUAUUUCUGUCUACUGCUGUUGAUAUUUUAUGGUGUGAAUGAACGCAAUCUCCUUUUAUGUCCCUUUACAUUCCCCUGUUUAUGGUAUAAAUAUUUCCUCUACAAACAUUGAGAACCACGCUAAAUGGUGGUACUGUCUGUGCCUCAUAUAUAAUUUAGAAAACUCAAGAGUAGAAGAGAGCCUAUUGUAGUUAUUCAUAUUUUCAUUCUUUUCAUUGUACUUUCUUCCUGAUGUUUCGUGAUUCUGUCUUUUUCAUUUCCUAUUUCAAGAACUACCCAUUCUUUUGGGAUAGGUAUGAUGGCAGCAAAUUCUUUUUGUUUUCCUCCAUGUGAAAUAUCUUGACUCUCCUUUCAUUCCUGAAGACUAUUUUCACAAGAUAUAGAAUUCUGAGUUAACACUUGAUAAAUGUUGUGCCACUUCCUUCUGGCCUUUGUGGUUUGUAGUGAGAACUUUUCUUUCAUUCAAAUAGUUUUCCCCUGAUGCUAGGAUGUUAUUUCUCUCUGGCUGUUUUCAAUAUUUUUUUUUCUUUGUCUUCAGUUUUUCGGAGUUUGACUAUGAAAUGUCUUGACAUGGUUUCCUUGAGUUUGUUCAGCUUCUUGAAUCUAUAGGUUUAUGUCUUUUGCCAAAUUUGGGGAUUUUUCAGACAUUAUUCCUUGACAACUUUUUAGUCCUAUGCACAUUCUGCUCUCCUUCUAGAACCCUGGUGAUGUGGAUGUUAAUUAUUUUGUUAUAGUCCCAUGGGUCUCUGAGGCUUUCUUCAUUUUUAAAAAAUAUAUUUUCUCUUUGUUGUUCAGAUUGAAUGACUUCUAUUAUUCUAACAUUUCCAGACUUCUAUUUUGGGUAAUGAAAGACUAGUUAAUUCAGACCAAUCCUCCCAUUUCAAACACAUGAAACUAGAAGAGAUUUACAGGUGUUACAGACAAUGCACUAUGAAUAAGAUGCUCAAGGGAAAUCAAAGAAAAGAUUGGGAAUGUUUGGCAAAGAAUUUAGAGAACAACAACAAAAAAAAGCCAGUAGGAACUCUAGAACUAAAAAACAUUAACUGAAAUUAAAAAUCAACGUGUGACCUUAACAGCAGUUUAGAUACAACUAAAAAAAAAAAUGGUGGUGACAUGAAGAAAACAGACACAUGAAAACAUGCUGAGAAAAGGAUUUAAAAUAUGAGAAAGAAUAUGAAAUACAUAGGGGACAGAGUGAAAAAGCAUAACAUUCAUAUAAUUGGAAUCCAGAAGGAGGGGAGAGAGAAAAUGUGUCAGAGACAAUAACUGAAGAGAACAUGGCCAGUGACACUCCCAAUAUGGCAAAAGACAUCAAGGCAAUGAUAAAAGUGCCACAAACCACAGCCACACUUGCCUAAGGAAAGCCAUGCCGAGGCAAAUGUAAGCAAAAUCCUCGGAGAGCAAAAACAGAGACAGUCUUAAUAGCCAGAGGAAAAAAGAGGUUAUCGUCAAAGGCGCACCAAUUAACCUGAUAGUUGAUAUUUCAGCAGAAAGAAAACAUAGAGGCCAGAUGAAGAUGGAAUUAUAUUUCCAAGUGCAGAAAGAAAACAACUGCCAAUCUAGAAUUCUAUACUCAGCCUAAAUAUAUUUUACAAAGAAAGAGAAACAAAGGCUUUUUUAGAAGAACGGAAAUGAAAAAGAUUUACCACCAGCAGAUUUAUAGUAAAUGAAACACUAAAGACCAUUUCCUUCAGGCAGAAGAAAAAUGAUACUAGAUGAAGGCUAGCACUGUAGGCAGGAACACACAACAGUGGAUGCCAUGAAUACAGGAUAAAUAUGAAUGGAUAUUGAUUAGAAAAAACAAUGUCUUAGGUUUAACAUAUGCAAACUUAAAUACAUAACAAAAAUAACUCACCAAUAAAGAAGACGGUAAAUAUUAUUAAAGUGCUCUGUUACCUUUGAAAUGUCCUAAAAGAGGUAAAAGUACCAUUUAUAUUAAACUUUGAUAUGUCAAGGAUAUUUGUUGUAGUUUCUAGG
rnacentral:lncRNA from 1 species